UACGUAGGGUGCAAGCGUUGUCCGGAAUUAUUGGGCGUAAAGAGCUUGUAGGCGGUUUGUCGCGUCUGCUGUGAAAUUUCGGGGCUCAACCCCGAACUUGCAGUGGGUACGGGCAGACUUGAGUUCGGUAGGGGAGACUGGAAUUCCUGGUGUAGCGGUGAAAUGCGCAGAUAUCAGGAAGAACACCCGUGGCGAAAGCGGCUCUCUGGAACGGUACUGACGCUGAGACGCGAAAGCGUGGGGAGCGAACAGG
rnacentral:rRNA from 1 species